rnacentral:tRNA from 1 species
CGGGAUGUGGCGCAGUUGGUAGCGCACUACGUUCGGGACGUAGGGGUUGCGUGUUCGAGUCACGUCAUCCCGA